CAGCCGCCGCGGGAAUACGUAGGUGGCAAGCGUUGUCCGGAAUUAUUGGGCGUAAAGCGCACGCAGGUGGUUUAAUAAGUCUGAUGUGAAAGCCCACGGCUCAACCGUGGAGGGUCAUUGGAAACUGUUAAACUUGAGUGCAGGAGAGAAAAGUGGAAUUCCACGUGUAGCGGUGAAAUGCGUAGAGAUGUGGAGGAACACCAGUGGCGAAGGCGACUCUCUGGUCUGUAACUGACGCUGAGGCUCGAAAGCGUGGGUAGCAAACAGGAUUAGAUACCCGCGUAGUCCCUGUCUCUUAUAA
rnacentral:rRNA from 1 species